AAGGCUUUAGCUUAAUUAAAGUGUCUGUUUUGCAUGCAGAAGUUGUGGGUUGAUAUCCUGCAAGCCUUA
rnacentral:tRNA from 1 species